rnacentral:rRNA from 1 species
CACUACAUGGAUAACUGUGGUAAUUCUAGAGCUAAUACAUGCUAAAAAUCCCGACUCCGGAAGGGAUGUAUUUAUUAGAUGAAAAACCAAUGCCCCUUGGGCUGCCUGGUGAUUCAUGAUAACUUCUCGAAUCGCAUGGCCUUGCGCCGGCGAUGGUUCAUUCAAAUUUCUUCCCUAUCAACUUUCGAUGCGAAGGUCUUGUCUUCGCAUGGUUACAACGGGUAACGGAGGGUUAGGGCUCGACCCCGGAGAAGGAGCCUGAGAAACGGCUACUACAUCCAAGGAAGGCAGCAGGCGCGCAAAUUACCCAAUCCCGACGCGGGGAGGUAGUGACAAAAAAUACUGAUACAGGGCUCUUUUGGGUCUUGUAAUUGGAAUGAGUACAAUUUAAAUCCCUUAACGAGGAACAAUUGGAGGGCAAGUCUGGUGCCAGCAGCCGCGGUAAUUCCAGCUCCAAUAGCGUAUAUUAAAGUUGUUGUGGUUAAAAAGCUCGUAGUUGAAACUUGGGCCUGGCUGGCCGGUCCCCCUCACCGGGUGCACUGAUCCAGCCGGGCCUUUCCCUCUGUGGAACCCCAUGGCCUUCGCUGGUCGUGGCGGGGAAACAGGACUUUUACUUUGAAAAAAUUAGAGUGCUCCAGGCAGGCCUAUGCUCGAAUACAUUAGCAUGGAAUAAUAAAAUAGGACGCGUGGUUCUAUUUUGUUGGUUUCUAGGACCGCCGUAAUGAUUAAUAGGGACAGUCGGGGGCAUCAGUAUUCAAUUGUCAGAGGUGAAAUUCUUGGAUCUAUUGAAGACUAACUACUGCGAAAGCAUUUGCCAAGGAUGUUUUCAUUGAUAAGGAACGAAAGUUAGGGGAUCGAAGACGAUCAGAUACCGUCGUAGUCUUAACCAUAAACUAUGCCGACUAGGGAUCGGACGAUGUUGCUAAUUGACUCGUUCGGCACCUUUCGAGAAAUCAAAGUGCU